rnacentral:rRNA from 1 species
AGAGUUUGAUCCUGGCUCAGAACGAACGCUGGCGGCGUGUUUAAGACAUGCAAGUCGCACGGGAUUGAUUGAGUAGUAAUACAAGAUCAGUCUAGUGGCGCACGGGUGAGUAACAUGUGAAUUACAUGCCCUAUAGUGGGGAAUAGCCCAGGGAAACUUGGAUUAAUACCCCAUGGUCUCGCAAGAGUAAAGGUGGCCGCAAGGCUGUCGCUAUAGGAUUGGUUCGCACCCUAUCAGCUUGUUGGUGAGGUAAUGGCUCACCAAGGCUACGACGGGUACCUGGUCUGAGAGGACGAUCAGGCACACUGGAACUGAGACACGGUCCAGACACCUACGGGUGGCAGCAGUCGAGAAUAAUUCACAAUGGGGGCAACCCUGAUGGUGCAACGCCGCGUGGAGGAUGAAGGUCUUCGGAUUGUAAACUCCUGUCAUCUGGGAGUAAGACCUGGCGAUGAAUAGUCGACAGGGUUGAUAGUACCAGAAGAGGAAGGGACGGCUAACUUCGUGCCAGCAGCCGCGGUAAUACGAAGGUCCCAAGCGUUGUUCGGAAUCACUGGGCGUAAAGGGAGCGUAGGCGGCGUGGUAAGUCAGAUGUGAAAUCCCGGGGCUCAACCCCGGAACUGCAUCCGAUACUGCCAUGCUAGAGGAUUGGAGAGGUAGCUGGAAUUCUUGGUGUAGCAGUGAAAUGCGUAGAGAUCAAGAGGAACACUCGUGGCGAAAGCGAGCUACUGGACAAUUCCUGACGCUGAGGCUCGAAGGCUAGGGUAGCGAAAGGGAUUAGAUACCCCUGUAGUCCUAGC